UUUUCCCCCCAUCUCUAGCUGCCAGACAGAUGAGCACUUCAUCAUCAAACUUGUAAGGACAGCUGAUUCUCACCCUUCUGCAAGCAAAAUCCUCUUAAUCAUAGUGAGGUUAAGCAGAUUUUCUGGGAAGUUCUCAACACAACAGUCCCCACGGUGGAAAUCUGCACUGAACAAUCACUCACAUAAAAGCACCUUUCUCCACGAGCACUGCACAAACCAGGACCUCUGUGUUCCAGAAGAGUGGGAAAUCCUGAUAAAUAGCAAGGUCUGCUCUGGUUUCAGAUACUUCUGGAGAGAGACAGUUUUACAGGGCAACCAAAAGUUGUAUUCCAGCUUUUGGCCACGGGUCAAGGGUCCCCUGGAUUUUGUACAGUGGAAUGCAGGAUCUAUUUAGAUAUAUCUUAGGAUGCCUGUUGAGUAAAAAUGACCUUUACUAGUUAGACAUUGUGCCUCUGAGUGUACAAGUUGAAUGGUGCAUGUGCAGUGAGUCAGCAUUUAAUAUUUCAGCUCCCUGUCGGUUUUUAAGUUUUAAAGACUGAACAUACAGUUAUUCACAAUAUUUUCUCUCUUCUUCCUCCCCCCACAUUAAGACAAAGCAGCAGAUUCAGAGACCAGUGAGAUUAAAGAACAAGCAAGGAAACAAAAAAACUUCCGUGAUUUUAGGCAAUUUGGACAUGGUCAUUGAAGAGGUUUACAGGAAAAAUACCUGAUCAUGCAAACAUAUUAUCAGAACUUCUCCUAGGAGCAGGGAUUUUGCUUAGAUAGGCUAAAAACUUCUCUAGAUCCAUAUUCUGCCAAAAGCAUCUUGUUACAUCUCAAAACUCAGAUAUCACAACAUUAGAGUUCAGUUGCACUACCCAAACAGCUGUAAGUUUUAUGAGCAAUAUUAGGAUUCACACUGGGAAAAUCACUAGAAAAACAAUUAUAUACAGAAGCAGAUGGUUAAAGACUAACUAAAAAUUGGAAGACCUACUAAACACAUCCUGUUUGAGUUUAAGGACAAAUGCAUGUCACCAAGGAAAUCCUUUAAAAGACAAUGCAUUCAACAAGCUCCAAAAUUUAAAUCCUCAAUUGUAAGAAUUUUACCUGAAAAUCAGAGAUGAAAGUGAAUAAACAGCUCAGCUGUCUCAGCUUCUCAGCUCUUCCAUCAAAUGUAUACCUUGCAUUUCAGCCUGAAAAAUCUUUCUUUACAGCCACAUGUGUUGCAGAGAACUUUACUCCCAAUGUUAUAAUUUCAAGGCAAUAAGGAGAUGGCAAAUAAUCUCUGCAUUGAGAGCCUGCUGGUCACAGCUCAAUUAAUUGAGUCACUGAUCUGAGGAGUGCCUUAAUCAAUGUUUUAAUCAAUUUUUUAUGAACAAAUUCAAAACUACUAAACACUUCUUUCACUGGUCCAACAAGAUAAAGAUGUGCUAACUCGGUGUAGAAGUCCAGAAGACAAGGGCAUUCUAAUUGAAAUGAGUUGUUUCCCCUCUUCAUUAAAAACUCCUAAUUUAAAAAGAGCCUCAUGUUCACCUGCAUCUAAACCCAUGUAAAGUGAAUUACACAGAUGAAAAACUGAGCAUUCAAGCCAGAGAAAGAAACAAACACCCCUGAAGGCUUCAGAGGCAUUUUUAACUGAGUUGUAAUACAGGAAUCCAAACAGCAUCUUACUGUGUCUGCUUUUGCUUUGCCCUAAAUAAUGACACACAGCUGUAUUUACACUGCUGUAUAUUUAGGUAAAAUGUGUCUGCAACCUGUGUAAGGUAAGCAACGCAUUUUUGCUGUUGUAACAUUAACUUUUGGCUUUUUUGACCUGUGUGUUCAAAAUGUUCCUUGCCUUAACACCCUCUUCAUUUUCUUUGCCCUGAAUAGUUGCACACACAGUGUGCAGACCUGUUUCAUGUUACCAAUGCUAGAAUUCCAAGCUGUACUUUGAUCAUGGCCCAAUGAGUGGUAAUUUUCUAUGUUGAACAUGUCAGUCUGAAAAAAAAAAAAGAAGAGAAAAAAAAAGAACAAACUGUUCCCAGUCUCUGAAAUUUAAAAACAAAAAAUCCACAGUUCCCAAAGUUAUCUGCUUCUUAUCAAGAUCCGUGUUUGGCACCAGAUGCAUUUGAUUCAUUCAUCAUUGUCAGUGCACUUACACACUAAUUAUUUCAAAUUGUUUCCUUGGGCAGAGGUCUAGGACAAAUGCAAGCAAGCCAAAAAUAGCAGUUAUGAAUAAUUAUGCAUAAUUUACCUCAAGGCCUGGGCCAGGCUAUCAUUAAAACUUCUUCUUUCCACCUGUGAUCCCAGCUAAUUGUGGACUUUAAAUUAGUUCAAGAUUACUUUUUCUUUUUUUUUUUUAAUAUGAUGCCAACAUUUAACCUUCCCAUUAGAAGUUUUCUGAUGCUUUAAAAAUUUCUAGUGAAAUGUCAGCAAGGUUCCUUCUUUUUUAACCAUGCCCUUGUAUUUCCCAGCCUGACAACAAACUUUGCUAACAGGAAAAACUUCAGAGUCAAAGUCAGCACAUGCAGCCUCACGUUAAGGCUGCCAAACAAGAUUCUUAGAAAAGCACAGUUUCUCUCUCAACCUCAAAGUAAGUUCUGAUGCUCCAAAACUAAAGCUGGUUUAGUCCCUUGAACUUUCCCUAUUAAAGUUCUGACUCCUUCUGGAGACAAGAAGAGAACUUUCCCAACAACAACAAAACCAAAAUUUAUAAAACACUUGCUCCUCCAAACUCAGAAAUAUCUGUUUAAUUCUACAGACAGCAAACUCAUUAAUUCCAGUGGGAUCCAAAGGGGUCAGUGAUGAAGGUGUAGAUGAUUUUGCUGAACUGGAGCCUUAUUCCAUUAAUUGUAAUGAAUGUACCUCCUAUGUUGUUGCGCUGCUUUAACUCCUUAAAUUACAGCUUUGAAAUAAAAACUGAUGAAAAAAAAGGAAAACUCACCCUGAAGACUUCCAGGAGAAGAAACAUAUACCUCAAAAAAAAGCAAGUGUAUGUACUACUGAUAAUUCCUAAAUACUCUCCAGUUUGGGAACACAGUACAAGCUUCACUGUUGAGACAACAGAAAAUAUGGUAACAGUAGCCAGAGGUAUUAAUGCACAAAUUAUAAGCAUUGCUUACUCAGAAAAAAAAAUCUACGAAUUCUUCUAUUCGGUGUCUCAAACAUCAGACCUCACAGGGACAAAAAAUGCUUCACUGUUCAGUUAACAGUGCAAGUCAUGCAGGAACCAGACCAGCUAAGUUGUGAAGCCUUGGGAGCCAAGGGUAUGUUUAUGUACUUUCCUUAUUCAAGAUAACCAAAAAUAUCAAAGCAGAUAUUUAAAAAAAAAAAGUUAGAUUCAGUAAC